UGGGUCUCGCUCGUUACCUGACUUAACAGGAUGCUUCACAGUACGAACUGGCGACGGCCAUGCACCUCCUCUCAGCGAUUCAGGCAAGGUCUUCAGCCUGGCCUACAUUUUGCUGUCGUCCCCGGUGAGUUGUCCGGCGUUGAGUCCAAUUAAACCGCAGGCUCCACCCGUUGUUGUGCUCCCCCGCCAAUUCCUUUAAGUUUCAGCCUUGCGGCCGUACUUCCCAGGUGGCUCGCUUCACGGCUUCCCUGCGGCACCAGACACGGUCGCGCCAUGCCUGACACCUAGCGAGCAUCGUUUACGGCUGGGACUACCCGGGUAUCUAAUCCGGUUCGUGCCCCCAGCUUUCGUCCCUCACCGUCGAACCCGUUCUGGUAAGACGCCUUCGCCACAGGUGGUCCCACAGGGAUUACAAGAUUUCACUCCUACCCCUGUAGUACCUCUUACCUCUCCCGGUUCCAAGUCUGGCAGUAUCCCCCGAAAGCCUAAUAGUUGAGCUAUCAGAUUUCCCGGAGGACUGACCAAACCGGCUACGGACCCUUUAGACCCAAUAAUCACGAUCACCACUCGGGCCGCCGGUGUUACCGCGGCGGCUGGCACCGGUCUUGCCCGGCCCUUGCUAACAGGUGUAUUUUACACACCUGGACAGCCAGCAUAUGAUGCUAGCACUCGGUGUCCCCUUAUCACGGUUUCCCGCAUUGCAAAGUUUUCGCGCCUGCUGCGCCCCGUAGGGCCUGGAAUUCAUGU
rnacentral:rRNA from 1 species